AGUGAACGCUGGCGGUAGGCCUAACACAUGCAAGUCGAACGGCAGCACAGUAAGAGCUUGCUCUUACGGGUGGCGAGUGGCGGACGGGUGAGGAAUACAUCGGAAUCUACUUUUUCGUGGGGGAUAACGUAGGGAAACUUACGCUAAUACCGCAUACGACCUACGGGUGAAAGCAUGGGAUCUUCGGACCUUGCGCGAUUGAAUGAGCCGAUGUCGGAUUAGCUAGUUGGCGGGGUAAAGGCCCACCAAGGCGACGAUCCGUAGCUGGUCUGAGAGGAUGAACAGCCACACUGGAACUGAGACACGGUCCAGACUCCUACGGGAGGCAGCAGUGGGGAAUAUUGGACAAUGGGCGCAAGCCUGAUCCAGCCAUACCGCGUGGGUGAAGAAGGCCUUCGGGUUGUAAAGCCCUUUUGUUGGGAAAGAAAAGCAGCAGGUUAAUACCCCGCUGUUCUGACGGUACCCAAAGAAUAAGCACCGGCUAACUUCGUG
rnacentral:rRNA from 1 species